GAAGCUUACUGUUGGAUACUGCACAAUAUGGAAGAAACAAGAAAUACAGGAGCCACUGAGACAGAAAGAACUUAUAGAAGCUGCACAGCAACUAACAAGCAUACUUAGUAAAAAAGAAAAGGAAUUAAAUAAAAUAAAGGAAAAAAUACAAGAACUGUCAUCACUAACAAAAACUAAGGAAGAUCAAAAUGAAGAGGAAUGUACACUAGUGGAAUUAAAGGAAGUAAAAGAAGCAACCAAUGAUUUGGAAGAGAAACUACAAAGUAAUUA